CCUACGGGAGGCAGCAGUGGGGAAUAUUGCACAAUGGGGGAAACCCUGAUGCAGCAACGCCGCGUGAGUGAAGAAGUAUUUCGGUAUGUAAAGCUCUAUCAGCAGGGACGAAGACGACGGUACCUGACUAAGAAGCCCCGGCCAAAUACGUGCCAGCAGCCGGGGUAAUACGUAGGGGGCAAGCGUUAUCCGGAUUUACUGGGUGUAAAGGGGGCGUAGACGGUGAGAUAAGUCUGAAGUGAAAGGCCGGGGCUCAACCCCGGGACUGCAUUGGAAACUGGCUGACUGGAGUGCUGGAGAGGCAAGCGGAAUUCCUAGUGUAGCGGUGAAAUGCGUAGAUAUUAGGAAGAACACCAGUGGCGAAGGCGGCUUGCUGGACCGUAACUGACGUUGAGGCUCGAAAGCGUGGGGAGCAAACGGGAUUAGAUACCCUUGUAGUC
rnacentral:rRNA from 1 species